rnacentral:rRNA from 1 species
AGUGAACCACCUGAUCCCUUCACGAACUCAGAAGUGAAACCUCUUAGCGCUGAUGGUAGUGUGGGAUUACCCCUGUGAGAGUAAGUCAUCGCCAGCU